AGUGAACGCUGGCGGUAGGCCUAACACAUGCAAGUCGAACGGCAGCACAGGAGAGCUUGCUCUCUAGGUGGCGAGUGGCGGACGGGUGAGGAAUACAUCGGAAUCUGCCCAGUCGUGGGGGAUAACGUAGGGAAACUUACGCUAAUACCGCAUACGACCUUCGGGUGAAAGAGGGGGAUCGCAAGACCUCUCGCGAUUGGAUGAGCCGAUGUCGGAUUAGCUAGUUAGCGGGGUAAUGGCCCACCAAGGCGACGAUCCGUAGCUGGUCUGAGAGGAUGAUCAGCCACACUGGAACUGAGACACGGUCCAGACUCCUACGGGAGGCAGCAGUGGGGAAUAUUGGACAAUGGGCGCAAGCCUGAUCCAGCCAUACCGCGUGGGUGAAGAAGGCCUUCGGGUUGUAAAGCCCUUUUAUUGGGAAAGAAAUCUUUCAGGCUAAUACCCUGGGAGGAUGACGGUACCCAAAGAAUAAGCACCGGCUAACUUCGUG
rnacentral:rRNA from 1 species